AGAGUUUGAUGGUGGCUCAGGAUGAACGCUGGCGGCGUGCUUAACACAUGCAAGUCGAGCGAAGCACUUAGGAAAGAUUCUUCGGAUGAUUUCCUAUUUGACUGAGCGGCGGACGGGUGAGUAACGCGUGGGUAACCUGCCUCAUACAGGGGGAUAACAGUUAGAAAUGACUGCUAAUACCGCAUAAGACCACAGCACCGCAUGGUGCAGGGGUAAAAACUCCGGUGGUAUGAGAUGGACCCGCGUCUGAUUAGUUAGUUGGUGGGGUAACGGCCUACCAAGGCGACGAUCAGUAGCCGACCUGAGAGGGUGACCGGCCACAUUGGGACUGAGACACGGCCCAAACUCCUACGGGAGGCAGCAGUGGGGAAUAUUGCACAAUGGGGGAAACCCUGAUGCAGCGACGCCGCGUGAGCGAAGAAGUAUUUCGGUAUGUAAAGCUCUAUCAGCAGGGAAGAAAAUGACGGUACCUGACUAAGAAGCCCCGGCUAACUACGUGCCAGCAGCCGCGGUAAUACGUAGGGGGCAAGCGUUAUCCGGAUUUACUGGGUGUAAAGGGAGCGUAGACGGAGCAGCAAGUCUGAUGUGAAAACCCGGGGCUCAACCCCGGGACUGCAUUGGAAACUGUUGAUCUGGAGUGCCGGAGAGGUAAGCGGAAUUCCUAGUGUAGCGGUGAAAUGCGUAGAUAUUAGGAGGAACACCAGUGGCGAAGGCGGCUUACUGGACGGUAACUGACGUUGAGGCUCGAAAGCGUGGGGAGCAAACAGGAUUAGAUACCCUGGUAGUCCACGCCGUAAACGAUGACUACUAGGUGUCGGGUGGCAAAGCCAUUCGGUGCCGCAGCCAACGCAAUAAGUA
rnacentral:rRNA from 1 species